rnacentral:lncRNA from 1 species
AAAACAGGAAAUAUAUGAAAACUUUUUUCGAUCUUGCAUGAAAGACUAAAAUGACAGUUUCAGCACAAAAUUAUAUUGUGUGAUUCUUUACCUGAUUUUGUUGAACGAAUCAGUAAUUUCAAUCCUUCAUUGUGAGCAGAAUGACUUAAUUUAUUUCCUUUCCAGUUUAUUCCGUCAUCCUCAAUUCAAUCCCAGCUACCGCGAAUAUUAUAGGGAUUCAGUAAGAUGGUAAAACAAAACGAUCAACAAAGUUCACCGGAAACUAAUCUAAUACAUAAAGAGAAAUUGAACAUCAAGAAUCAAUCAAACAAUUAAGGAUCCGUUGCUGGUUGUUACAGCUACAGAGAGCCUAAAAACCAGGACAAAAAUCCCAAAAGAGAACCAAUUUUUAAUAAAAGUUCAAUUUAUGAAGAAAAAUUGAAAAAAAAGAAUUAGAAAAGAAAUAAUAUACCUGUUAUUGAUGCUUAAUUCAGUGAAUACCUUGAAGAAAGCUUCAAACUUUUUGCAAUCUGAUAAACAAGAAAUAGCAAAACAACAAGGAAAUAAUGUAUUUAAAACAGGAACUAAAAAAUAAAUAGAAAACGAAGCAUAGAAAAUAGCAAUUAAAUGACACAAAUAUGAACUGAAUUAGGCUCUCCAAUUUUGACCGUAUUGUUUCAUCAUGUGAAAUAGAAUUUCAACAACCUCGAUCUCAACAUUAUGCUGAAUCACUAAUCGGAAAUUUGUGAGAUAUGCUACAAGUAGUAAUAAACUCUUAAGCGCAGCCCACUCCAUUAGCAAUGAGCUGUGUAUAUCGACGAAAAUUAAAAAGUAAGAAAUGAGAGAAACAAAACCAUGUAAAUAUCUUUAGGGCCACCUCUGUAACCACAAGGAGAACAGAUCGCUGGUAAACAAAACCAUGUAAACA